rnacentral:rRNA from 1 species
CUAAGCAUGAAGCCCCCCUNAAGAUGAGAUUUCCCAACUUCGGUUAUAAGAUCCCUCGAAGAUGACGAGGUUAAUAGGUUCGAGGUGGAAGCGUGGUGACACGUGGAGCUGACGAAUACUAAUCGAUCGAAGACUUAAUCA